CGCCUUCGGCGUCCGCAUUGUAAUCUCAAGAAGUGUUUUCCGCUUCGGACCAUGCCUAAGUCCCUUGGAAAAGGGCAUCAUAGAGGGUGAUAAUCCCGUACAUGGCAUGGAGCGCCCGAGGCUUUGUGAUACGCUUUCUAAGAGUCGAGUUGUUUGGGAAUGCAGCUCAAAAUGGGUGGUAAAUGCCAUCUAAGGCUAAAUAUUGGGGAGAGACCGAUAGCGAACAAGUACAGUGAUGGAAAGAUGAAAAGAACUUUGAAAAGAGAGUUAAACAGUACGUGAAAUUGCCAAAAGGGAAGGGUAGGAGGUCAGAGAUGCGUCUUGGGAUUCAGCCUUGCUUUUGCUUGGUGUUUUUCCCAAGUUGCAGGCCAACGUCGGUUUUGGGCACUGGAGAAGGGUGGAAGGAACGUGGCACCUCUCGGGGUGUGUUAUAGCCUUCUACUGGAUACAGCGACCGAGACCGAGGACAGCAGCGUACUCGCAAGAGCGGGCCUUCGGGCACCUUUACGCUUAGGGCGUUGGCAUAAUGGCCCUCUA
rnacentral:rRNA from 1 species